rnacentral:lncRNA from 1 species
AGAAAAAAAAAAACACGUAGAAAUAUAUAUGAUUCGACCACUGGUCUACGUUCGUUGGUAAAGACAGAGCAAUAUUUUUUUUUUAUUUUUUUUAGAGAUAGGUAGCACGCUAGCUGCUUCGUUUAUUUUAUUUAGAAAUAAAUUUAGCUGGAAAUGUGAAUCAAUUAGAAUUCGAACUUGGAUCUCGAAUACCAACCACCAAAACUUUUGCCACUUAUUUUGGAAACGAUUGAUGAGCAAAAUUUUAUUAAUAUUUAAU